rnacentral:rRNA from 1 species
UACAGAGGGUGCAAGCGUUGUUCGGAAUUAUUGGGCGUAAAGCGCGUGUAGGCGGCUUUGCAAGUCGGGUGUGAAAGCCCUCAGCUUAACUGAGGAAGUGCGCCCGAAACUGCAGAGCUUGAAUACCGGAGAGGAUGGCGGAAUUCCCCAAGUAGAGGUGAAAUUCGUAGAUAUGGGGAGGAACACCGGUGGCGAAGGCGGCCAUCUGGACGGCUAUUGACGCUGAGACGCGAAAGCGUGGGGGAGCAAACAGG